GCUAACGCGAUAAGUCCACCGCCUGAGGACUACGGCCGCAAGGCUAAAACUCAAAGGAAUUGACGGGACACCGCACAAGCAGCGGAGCGUGUGGUUUAAUUCGAUGCAACACGAAGAACCUUACCAGGGCUUGACAUGCAGGUGGUAGGGAGCCGAAAGGUGACCGACCCUUCGGGGAGCCUGCACAGGUGCUGCAUGGCUGUCGUCAGCUCGUGUCGUGAGAUGUUCGGUUAAGUCCGCCAACGAGCGCAACCCUCGCCGUGUGUUACAUGUGUCACACGGGACCGCCGGCCUUAAGCCGGAGGAAGGUGAGGAUGACGUCAAGUCAGCAUGGCCUUUAUGUCCUGGGCUACACACACGCUACAAUGGUCGGUACAAUGGGUCGCGAAGCCGCGAGGCGGAGCCAAUCCCCCAAAGCCGGCCUCAGUUCAGAUUGCAGGCUGCAACCCGCCUGCAUGAAGACGGAGUUGCUAGUAACCGCAGGUCAGC
rnacentral:rRNA from 1 species